rnacentral:rRNA from 1 species
GACGAACGCUGGCGGCGUGCUUAACACAUGCAAGUCGAACGGAAAGGCCCUGCUUUUGUGGGGUGCUCGAGUGGCGAACGGGUGAGUAACACGUGUGUAACCUGCCCUUGACUUUGGGAUAACUCCAGGAAACUGGGGCUCAUACCGGAUAGGAGCUCCUGCUGCAUGGUGGGGGUUGGAAAGUUUCGGCGGUUGGGGCUGGACUCGCGGCUUAUCAGCUUGUUGGUGGGGUAGUGGAAUACCAAGGCUUUGACGGGUAGCCGGCCUGAGAGGGUGACCGGCGACAUGAGGCCUGAGAUACGGCGCAGACGCCUACGUGAGGCAGCAGUGGGGAAUAUUGCGCAGUGGGCGGAAGCCUGAGGCAGCAACGCCGCGUGCGGGAUGACGGCCUUCGGGGUGUGAACCGCUUUCGCCUGUGACGAAGCGUGAGUGACGGUAAUGGGUAAAGAAGCACCGGCUAACUACGUG